AAUUAUUCAAUUAAAAUUAUUCAAUCAAUCUUGUAACGAAAUUAUUCAAAGUCAUUUAAGUUGUGUGACUUUAUUUUAAAUCUAUUUCUGAUGGAUUUUUAUCUCUCAGUAAAUUUAAAGAUCGUAUUUCAAUUAUCUUUAUAAAUUAGCAGAUUAUUAAAAUUGAUUAGAAUUAUUUUUAAGUGUGGAUUCAGUUUCUUCUGAUCGUUUCGUUUCUAAAUUUAUAUGUACGGACAACACUUUCUUAAUAACGAAAUGCUUUUAUUUGAAAAUCAAAUUUAAUAUUAGAAAAUAUAAAUAAUGAAGUUUAAAAUUGCAAAAAAUAAAAACUUUUAGAACCUGUGCUUAUAUAUUGUUCAAAAUCUUGGGCUACAUCAAAAUUGUCUGAUUAUCUCCAUUAAUUUAUCAUUUUUGUUUUUUGCAUAGAUACUGCUUUUGUGCGUUGUAUUUUUCAGAAUUUACUGUCUUCAUGAUAUCCUGCUGAUGGACACUUUUCGAGAAGCUAAAACUUCAUCAGAUCAUUUUUAUGGUAAAGCCUAAUACGUGUCCAUGGAAAACGGAACGAUUUGAAGAUAUUACGAAGUACUCAUUCGCAUUCUUGCUGGCUUAAUAGCAUCUCAAACCAGAAUGGUCAUCUUAUUGUGAUCCUUUUGGCUUCAAAAUUCUCAAAAACAGCUACCCGGAGGUGCAGUCAGUCAAGAGCUUGCAGUGAUUCCUAGUAAUUUACUGUCUUCUUGAUAUCCUGCUGAUGGACACGUUUCGGGAAGCUAAAACUUCAUCAGAUCAUUUUUAUAGUAAAGAUUAAGACGUGUCUAUGGAAAACGGAACGAUUUGAAGAUAUUAAUGACGAAGUACUCAUUCGCAUUCUUGCUGGCCUAAUAGCAUCUCAAACCAGAAUGGUCAUCUUAUUGUGAUCCUUUUGGCUUCAAAAUUCUCAA